GACGAACGCUGGCGGCGUGCUUAACACAUGCAAGUCGAACGGAAAGGCCUGCUUUCCCUUGUGGAUUGCGGGUACUCGAGUGGCGAACGGGUGAGUAACACGUGAGUGAUCUGCCCCCAACUUGGGUAUAAGCCUGGGAAACUGGGUCUAAUUCCCGAUAGGACUGCAGGGUGGUGCCUGUGGUGGAAAACGAUUUUCUAGUGGUUGGGGAUGAGCUCGCGGCCCAUCAGCUUGUUGGUGGGGUAAUGGCCUACCAAGGCGGCGACGGGUAGCCGGCCUGAGGGGGUGGACGGCCGCAUUGGGACUGAGAUACGGCCCAGACUCCUACGGGAGGCAGCAGUGGGGAAUAUUACACAAUGGGCGGAAGCCUGAUGCAGCGACGCCGCGUGGGGGAUGACGGCCUUCGGGUUGUAAACUCCUUUCGACCGCGAGGAAGCCACCUGGUUGGAAGGGUGGUGACGGUAGUGGUAGAAGAAGCACCGGCUAACUACGUG
rnacentral:rRNA from 1 species